rnacentral:rRNA from 1 species
GUGUACGGCCAUACCAUCCUCAACAAGCCCGAUCCUGUCUGAUCUCAGAAGCUAAGCAGGGUCGGGCCUGGUUAGUACUUGGAUGGGAGACCACCUAGGAAGACCAGGUGCUGUAGGCA